UACAGAGGUCUCAAGCGUUGUUCGGAUUCAUUGGGCGUAAAGGGUGCGUAGGCGGUCUGUCGCGUCGGCUGUGAAAACCCGGGGCUCAACCCCGGGCCUGCAGUCGAUACGGGCAGACUAGAGUGCGGUAGGGGAGACUGGAAUUCCUGGUGUAGCGGUGAAAUGCGCAGAUAUCAGGAGGAACACCGGUGGCGAAGGCGGGUCUCUGGGCCGUAACUGACGCUGAGGAGCGAAAGCGUGGGGAGCGAACAGG
rnacentral:rRNA from 1 species